rnacentral:lncRNA from 1 species
AAAGUUAGAAGUUGGCCAACACCUUAGUGGAUUAUGAUGUUUUUCUCUCAUUUUGUGAGUUUAAUUCUCUUAAAUUUUUUUAUGCUUAUUAUUAAUUAAGAAAUUGAGAGAUAAAUAAAAUUUUAAGUAAGAUCAAUAAUUUAGUCAAUAGAUAUUGAGAUUCUUAAUUGCUUUAGGAUUGGUUUGAAUUGUUUAGGUUUUGGAUAGGAUUUAAGAUUUGAUUAGAAUUUGGUUUAAGAUUUAAAAUUUGAUUAGGAUUAAUUUAGGAUUUAAAAUCUAAUUAGGAUUGAUUUAAGAUUUAUGAUUUCUUUAGGAUUUCUUUAAGAAUUUUUAAGAAUUUUUUAAAGAUUCUUGUCGAUUUCUUUUAGUUUUUUUAGAUUUUUUUUAAAGAUUUCUAUUAG